GACAGAGGGUGCAAACGUUGUUCGGAAUUACUGGGCGUAAAGCGCGUGUAGGCUGCUUCGCAAGUCGGAUGUGAAGCCCUGGGCUCAACCCAGGAAGUGCAUUCGAAACUGCAGAGCUGGAGUCCUGGAGAGGAAGGCGGAAUUCUCGGUGUAGAGGUGAAAUUCGUAGAUAUCGAGAGGAACACCGGUGGCGAAGGCGGCCUUCUGGACAGUGACUGACGCUGAGACGCGAAAGCGUGGGGAGCAAACAGG
rnacentral:rRNA from 1 species